UCCACAUGACCAAAGAGGUUAACCCUGUCAGCAAGCAAGGUAAGGAUGUCAUCUGUGGGAUGACUCCACGCCCUGCUCCAUAUACAACUAGCGUAUGAUGACAUUUACCAGCCAUGCCAGCAAGUCUGACCACUUGAUCCCGUUACGACAAGCAUGGGUUGCUGAAGUCCAGUUCUAACCCUGAAAUUCACUUAACACAGUUUCACAUGACACAAGGGUGGAGAAUAUCGACAAACGUUUUUGGUUGAUCGUAAAGUUACAUCACUGUUCAAAAGAGUUCUAUUGACCACAGAACAUUGAUUGGGCUUCUGAAUGGGUCUACUUGCUUCAAUAUGUGAAAACAUGGAAGAAUUGUGUGAUUAAGGACCUGUGGAAUUGCUUGUGAUAUGCUUCAUACAACCCAAACAAUGCAGGGUGUCAGGGGAAUCGAGAGGUCAUUCUAGGUCAAGUUAUCUAUUG